rnacentral:tRNA from 1 species
GGGCGCUUAACUCAGCGGUUAGAGUGCCAUCCUCACACGGUGGAAGUCACAGGUUCAAUUCCUGUAGCGCCCA